rnacentral:lncRNA from 1 species
GUCCUUCCGUCCAAGGAUGCUUCAUCCGCAGCUCCGGCACUGCUGGCCACCCGCACUCGGUGCUCGCGCCCUACCACCUCCAGGGACCGCGAAAGGCCCCGGGCGGUCAGUGGCAGUUUGCAACCCGCCGGGACACGUCCAGUUCUUACGCCUGGAGACCGUCUCCAACACUCCCUUCAAAUCUCACCAUGUGCAGAAGGGCGGAAGAGUCAACACGCUUAAUGCACAGACUUCUGGUUGCCAAACAUACCAAAGACACGUGCUCCGAACCCAGACGUCCCCAGUCACCCAGAAGAUAAACUUUUAAUUCUCUUCCCCUUUUUGGAACAGGAUUUUUCCUUUCUCAGCAAAUCUAUGAGACUCACAAUCCUCCUUUAAAAGCCACAUUCAAUUUCUACUUCCUCAGUCGUCUUCCCUCCCUGACCUGAAUGGCUUUGUUUAAAUAUUUGCAAAUAUUUGGUUAGGGUGAUCUGCUUCUACUUGCUACCACACCCAAAAUAUUAAGACAAAAAGAAAAGUCAUUGAGUGUUUCCUUGAGUAAUCAGCGCAUCGAGGUUACAGUUUAAACUGAAAAGGAAUGUUUUGCCAAUGUGUUGAAUAG